rnacentral:rRNA from 1 species
CACGUAGGCACCAAGCGUUGUCCGGAUUUAUUGGGCGUAAAGGGCUCGUAGGCGGUUCAGUAAGUCAGGUGUGAAAUCUUUGGGCUUAACCCAAAGCGUGCACUUGAUACUGCUGUGACUUGAGUUCGGUAGGGGAGUGGGGAAUUCCUAGUGUAGCGGUGAAAUGCGCAGAUAUUAGGAGGAACACCGGUGGUGAAGGCGGCCUGCUGGGCAGUAGCUGACGCUGAGGCGCGACAGCGUGGGGAGCAAACAGG